rnacentral:rRNA from 1 species
UGGACGAGAAUAAUCUCGGGAAACUGAGCAUAAUUCUUGAUAGAUCAUAAUGCCUGGAAUAGUUUAUGGUUAAAAUGAUUCGUCGCCAUAGGAUGGGACUGCGGCCUAUCAGCUUGUUGGUGAGGUAAUGGCCCACCAAGGCGAUUACAGGUACGGGCUCUGAGAGGAGAAGCCCGGAGAUGGGUACUGAGACACGGACCCAGGCCCUAUGGGGCGCAGCAGGCGAGAAAACUUUGCAAUGUGCGAAAGCACGACAAGGUUAAUCCGAGUGAUUUCUGCUAAAGAAAUCUUUUGCAAGUCAUAAAACCACUAGUGAAUAAGGGGUGGGCAAGUUCUGGUGUCAGCCGCCGCGGUAAAACCAGCACCUCAAGUGGUCAGGAGGAUUAUUGGGCCUAAAGCAUCCGUAGCCGGCUCUGUAAGUUUUCGGUUAAAUCCAUGCGCUCAACGCAUGGGCCGCCGAAAAUACUGCAUGGCUAGGGAGUGGGAGAGGUAGACGGUACUCGGGAGGAAGUGGUAAAAUGCUUUGAUCUCUCGAUGACCACCUGUGGCGAAGGCGGUCUACCAGAACACGUUCGACGGUGAGGGAUGAAAGCUGGGGGAGCAAACCGGAUUAGAUACCCGGGUAGUCCCAGCUGUAAACGAUGCAGACUCGAUGAUGCAUUGGCAUAUAGCCAGUGCAGUGUCGCAGGGAAGCCGUUAAGUCUGCCGCCUGGGAAGUACGUACGCAAGUAUGAAACUUAAAGGAAUUGGCGGGGGAGCACCACAAGGGGUGAAGCCUGCGGUUCAAUUGGAUUCAACGCCGGAA